AUUAAAAGGGGGGUCAAAAGCCCCAAAAUUUGUUAUAAAUAAUAGAGCAAAUGAACAGACAUUCAGCCAGGUGACACUGAUGCACACAAGCCUGAGAGCCUGGUGAGGACUUGGACUGACAUCCCUACUCUUCUCAUCUGCCUGAAUCUCUGUGUAGUUCUCAUCGCUCUCAAACUCUACAGUCACAUCUUGACCCUGGGAGCGCACCUCCUGGAGGGUAAGGGAGACCUAGUCUUGAGCACCAGCAAGGCCUAUUUCAAAUAUAAGAGACCCUGAGGCUCACCUGUGGGAACACCUCCACCAGCUCCUUUGUCCAACAGGCGAAAAACCAGAAGUAGAUCCUGUUAGGUCGAUGGAGGUGACUGAGGAACCAAGCACCACCAAGCAACCUGCGCUCAAAAGAACACCAGACACCGAUGGAGCCACCUGUCAAUCAGCAGGGUCAUCUGACCAAUCCUGGAUCUUAGCCAACUCUGCCAACAAACCCCAUUUGGAUAAGGGACUCUAAAGACCCCUUUUCCUGUCCCAAGCCCUCCCUUCCUGCCCUAAGCCCAGUAAAAAUUUCAGUCCAGUGGAGCCCCCCACUCUUCUCCUUAGACCCGCUCUGCUGGUCUGAGGGUCCCACCCUGGAGCGAAAUCUCAACAAAGCCCCCCUCAGCCGCCUUUUUAAAUCUGCCGCCUUUUGGUCGCAGCUGUCUGGCCUUACAUCUUGUGCUGAAACCCGGGAGGGAUUUUCGGGCGUCUUCCAUACCUUACAUCUGGGGAUUGAGGUCCAUCAUCCCCGCUUCAAAGGAACCGGGAAAUUCCUAAGCUGCUCCUUCCCUCUCCCUUCAUCGGGCUGGCAAGAGUGGGGUAAGUUCCCAUUUCCCCUGACCUUCCAGCCCCUUUCCAUCCACGGGGGUCUGCCCGUAAGUCACGCGUGUGCCGUAGACUCCCACCCGUUCUGUUCAAGGCCUGGGGACUGCGGAGACUCCCAGUUCUUGUGUGAGCCAUUCUGAUCUGUUUGGGCUCCUGGCAGAUUACAGGGAUGCCUCAACCAUCCCCGAGCCCUUAUCUGUUCCUCAGGUGAAUGCCAUCAGAAUUUGGGACGCCUUUUUCUGCUCCCACCCACCCCCGAGGGUGCCGGAAGAUCUUGGGAAACACCGAGUCCUCCUUAGACCCCAAAAGUCCUUUGGAUGUCUCUAUUCAAAUUUUGCCAAGUUAGGGCUCACUCAAGACCUACACCGUAACCGCCUGGUCGUUUACUGCACUGUGGCCUGGCCCCAGUGGGACUUAGACAAUGGGUCACAAUGAAGCCAGAUUUAAAGUUAGGUAGUCAGUGUAGUUAGGUAAAUCGGGUGUAAUAUGGG